GAGCUGGGACUGAUAGGAGAGCCGGCAGUGGGUCCCCUGCCUUCUUCAGUGGUGGGACCGACUAUGAAUAUGUAGUCUAGCAGAUGAGAGGAAGAUGGAGUGAAGAAUUCCUACAAUACCGUGGUUACUUCCUCCAUUCACUACGCGAUCAAGUAUGAAUAUUCUAAAAAGAACCUCGAAAAGAACUGGAUGAUGAAGCUUUAUGUAUUUAUUUCUCCUUGUAAAAGAAGUUUUUAGGCUCAUUUUAGACAAUUUUCCUAUUUUUCUAUGGCAUCCAUUCACAAAAAA